rnacentral:rRNA from 1 species
AUUGAACGCUGGCGGCAGGCCUAACACAUGCAAGUCGAACGGUAACAGAAAGCAGCUUGCUGCUUUGCUGACGAGUGGCGGACGGGUGAGUAAUGUCUGGGAAACUGCCUGAUGGAGGGGGAUAACUACUGGAAACGGUAGCUAAUACCGCAUAACGUCGCAAGACCAAAGAGGGGGACCUUCGGGCCUCUUGCCAUCGGAUGUGCCCAGAUGGGAUUAGCUAGUAGGUGGGGUAAAGGCUCACCUAGGGGACGAUCCCUAGCUGGUCUGAGAGGAUGACCAGCCACACUGGAACUGAGACACGGUCCAGACUCCUACGGGAGGCAGCAGUGGGGAAUAUUGCACAAUGGGCGCAAGCCUGAUGCAGCCAUGCCGCGUGUAUGAAGAAGGCCUUCGGGUUGUAAAGUACUUUCAGCGGGGAGGAAGGGAGUAAAGUUAAUACCUUUGCUCAUUGACGUUACCCGCAGAAGAAGCACCGGCUAACUCCGUG